rnacentral:rRNA from 1 species
UACGGGGGGGGGCAAGCGUUGUUCGGAAUUACUGGGCGUAAAGGGCGCGUAGGCGGCUCGCUAAGUCGGAUGUGAAAACUCUGGGCUCAACCCAGAGCCUGCAUUCGAAACUGGGGGAGCUCGAGUUCUGGAGGGGAAAGCGGAAUUCCUGGUGUAGCGGUGAAAUGCGUAGAUAUCAGGAGGAACACCGGUGGCGAAGGCGGCUUUCUGGACAGAAACUGACGCUGAUGCGCGAAAGCUAGGGGAGCAAACGGG